rnacentral:rRNA from 1 species
ACCUGCCCUGUACACACGGAUAACAUACCGAAAGGUAUGCUAAUACGAGAUAAAAUACUUUUAUCGCAUGGUAGAAGUAUCAAAGCUUUUGCGGUACAGGAUGGACCCGCGUCUGAUUAGCUAGUUGGUAAGGUAACGGCUUACCUAGGCGACGAUCAGUAGCCGACCUGAGAGGGUGAUCGGCCACAUUGGAACUGAGACACGGUCCAAACUUAAACGGGAGGCAGCAGUGGGGAAUAUUGCACAAUGGGCGAAAGCCUGAUGCAGCAACGCCGCGUGAGCGAUGAAGGCCUUCGGGUCGUAAAGCUCUGUCCUCAAGGAAGAUAAUGACGGUACUUGAGGAGGAAGCCCCGGCUAACUACGUGCCAGCAGCCGCGGUAAUACGUAGGGGGCUAGCGUUAUCCGGAAUUACUGGGCGUAAAGGGUGCGUAGGUGGUUUCUUAAGUCAGAGGUGAAAGGCUACGGCUCAACCGUAGUAAGCCUUUGAAACUGGGGAACUUGAGUGCAGGAGAGGAGAGUGGAAUUCCUAGUGUAGCGGUGAAAUGCGUAGAUAUUACGAGGAACACCAGUUGCGAAGGCGGCUCUCUGGACUGUAACUGACACUGAGGCACGAAAGCGUGGGGAGCAAACAGGAUUAGAUACCCUGGUAGUCCACGCCGUAAACGAUGAGUACUAGCUGUCGGAGGUUACCCCCUUCGGUGGCGCAGCUAACGCAUUAAGUACUCCGCCUGGGAAGUACGCUCGCAAG